AACGCGAAGAACCUUACCUGGGUUUGACAUGCACGGGAAUCUACCAGAGAUGGUAGCGUCCUUCGGGACUCGUGCACAGGUGCUGCAUGGCGGUCGUCAGCUCGUGCCGUGAGGUGUUGGGUUAAGUCCCGCAACGAGCGCAACCCUUACUUUUAGUUGCCAUCGGGUAAAGCCGGGCACUCUAGAGGGACUGCCAGGAUAAACUGGAGGAAGGUGGGGAUGACGUCAAGUCAGCAUGGCCCUUACAUCCAGGGCUACACACCUGCUACAAUGGGCGGGACAAAGGGCAGCCAACCCGCGAGGGGGAGCGAAUCUCCAAAAACCCGUUUCAAUUCGGAAUGUAGGUUGCAACUUGCCUACCUGAAAUCUGAAUCACUAGUAACCCCAGAUCAGCUACGCUGCGGUGAAUGCGUUCCCCGGGUCUUGUACACACCG
rnacentral:rRNA from 1 species